rnacentral:rRNA from 1 species
UNCNUGCAGUCGAGCGAGAAAGCCCUUCGGGGUGAGUACAGCGGCGGACGGGUGAGUAACGCGUAGGAAUCUACCCAGUGGUGGGGGACAACUUGGGGAAACCCAAGCUAAUACCGCAUACGCCCUACGGGGGAAAGCGGGGGAUCUUCGGACCUCGCGCCAUUGGAUGAGCCUGCGUUGGAUUAGCUAGUUGGUGGGGUAAAGGCCUACCAAGGCGACGAUCCAUAGCUGGUCUGAGAGGAUGAUCAGCCACACUGGGACUGAGACACGGCCCAGACUCCUACGGGAGGCAGCAGUAGGGAAUAUUGCACAAUGGGGGAAACCCUGAUGCAGCCAUGCCGCGUGUGUGAAGAAGGCCUUAGGGUUGUAAAGCACUUUCAAUUGGGAAGAAAAGCUGCAGUUUAAUACGCUGUAGCCCUGACAUUACCUUUAGAAGAAGCACCGGCUAACUCCGUGCCAGCAGCCGCGGUAAUACGGAGGGUGCGAGCGUUAAUCGGAAUUACUGGGCGUAAAGCGCGCGUAGGCGGUUUGUUAAGUCGGAUGUGAAAGCCCUGGGCUCAACCUGGGAACUGCAUCCGAUACUGGCCGACUAGAGUACGAGAGAGGGAGGUAGAAUUCCACGUGUAGCGGUGAAAUGCGUAGAUAUGUGGAGGAAUACCGGUGGCGAAGGCGGCCUCCUGGCUCGAUACUGACGCUGAGGUGCGAAAGCGUNNNGAGCAAACAGGAUUAGAUACCCUGGUAGUCCACGCCGUAAACGAUGUCUACUAGCCGUUGGGGAACUUGAGUCCUUAGUGGCGCAGCUAACGCACUAAGUAGACCGCCUGGGGAGUANNGCCGCANGGUUAAAACUCAAAUGAAUUGACGGGGGCCCGCACAAGCGGUGGAGCAUGUGGUUUAAUUCG